rnacentral:misc_RNA from 1 species
GAUGAAGAACGUAGCGAAAUGCGAUAAGUAGUAUGAAUUGCAGAAUUCAGUGAAUCAUCGAAUCUUUGAACGCACAUUGCGCCCCUUGGUAUCCCGAGGGGCAUGCCUGUUCGAGCGUCAUUUCACCACUCAAGCCUGGCUUGGUGUUGGGCGACGUCCCCUUUGGGGACGCGCCUCGAAACGCUCGGCGGCGUGGCACCGGCUUUAAGCGUAGCAGAAUCUUUCGCUUUGGAAGUCGGGGCCCCGUCUGCCGGAAGACCUACUCGCAAGGUUGACCUCGGAUCAGGCAGGGAUACCCGCUGAACUUAAGCAUAUCAAUAAGCGGAGGA